UAUUGGUCAAUGGGCGGGAGCCUGAACCAGCCAAGCCGCGUGAAGGAGGAAGGCGCCAUGCGUCGUAAACUUCUUUUGUCGGGGAACAAAGGGCGCCACGCGUGGCGUUGUGAGUGUACCCGAAGAAAAAGCAUCGGCUAACUCCGUGCCAGUAGCCGCGGUAAUACGGAGGAUGCGAGCGUUAUCCGGAUUUAUUGGGUUUAAAGGGUGCGCAGGCGGUCUGUUAAGUCAGCGGUCAAAGCCCGGGGCUCAACCCCGGUCCGCCGUUGAAACUGGCAGUCUCGAGUUGGAGAGAAGUAUGCGGAAUGCGCGGUGUAGCGGUGAAAUGCAUAGAUAUCGCGCAGAACUCCGAUUGCGAAGGCAGCAUGCCGGCUCCACGCUGACGCUGAGGCACGAAAGCGUGGGUAUCG
rnacentral:rRNA from 1 species